GCCCCGCUGGCCAAGUGGUAAGGCGUUCGUUUCCUAUCCCUCCGGGGCCCCAUGGGCUUCGACAGCGAGCGAGAGAUCGCGGGUUCGACCCCCGCGCGGGGUU
rfam:Trichosporon oleaginosus strain IBC0246 unplaced genomic scaffold CC85scaffold_5, whole genome shotgun sequence.